rfam:Aspergillus fumigatus Af293 chromosome 6, whole genome shotgun sequence.
UCACAUGAUGCGGUAAUUUGCGAUUGACACAGUGUCUGUGAACCCUCGCCGGGGUUCUUUCAAGCAGCACUGCCGCAUGAUAUUCAUUUCUUACAUAUUCUGAUA